AUGCGAGUUGUCUCGAUAAUUGCCGUUUCACUCUUGCUGGGCCUCAAUGCUCAAAAGUCCAUACCACAUGACUCUACUCACUUCGGAAAAGGAUUCUCGGACCCCUUUGGAGUUCCUCAGAACACCGGCGCUCAGGACCAAUCCUCCGAUAUUGGUCAAGGACGUUCUGUCUCGUCCGGCUCUCCAGAUGCAGCUUCUCAGGAUUACCAAUUGAUUGGACAAGAAUCCUCUUCUGAUCAUUCAGUCAGUCUUGCCACUCCGUUGUCCAAACAUGCUCCGGAUCGUCGUUCUUCAUUCCUGAAAAGGAGUGCUUCUGGCCACGAAUCCCCAUUCAGUCAUCCCAACGCCGACGUCUCUCCCAGCUCACCACAACAGCUCCAUCUGGCCUUUGCCAAUGCCACGACUUCUACCAAUGUCACGAAUGCAAAGAGUAUCGCUUCCAAAACUCCAGAUAUGUAAACAAAACGUGGCGAAAAACUUGGAAAUGAAAGGAUUUAUAAUGCACUACCAACUUCGAUGGCUACCUCAAACAUAUAAGUGUCAUUGCUCACGUUGCCAAUGGAAUCACCCUGCAGGCUGGACUGAUGAAUGAAAAGAUUCCGAUCGAUGCCGUAGUUGGAGAGCUUUUCGGUUUGAGAUCUAUCGAAUUGUCCGACAUCUUCUACAAAUUGGACAAAAUUGCUGCCUGGACACGGAAGCUGAAGGACAUCCCUAACGAUCUAAAAGCGUCUACGGAGCUGGAUGAACUAGAAUCUAAAAUCCUUGAAUUGGAUCAGAUUCGGAUGGAGUCGGAUGGUGUUCAAAACGUUCUCGAAUCAUCAAAACUGACUGACUACUUUGCGACAGUGAAGAACGUGAAGAACAAUUUGGAGAAAUACAACUUCAAACUGUUCAGUGAUGCCAAUAGAGAAAUUAGUACCGUCUUAAUCACACUUGAAAAAAUAUUAUCAAGUGCGACGGCAAAGGAAUUGUGGAAUAAGUACAGAAGUUUGCCCAGCCAAUGUAAAAAAAUGAUGGCCGCCAUUGAAGCAGUGAAGAAGAUUGACAAGAAGUCUAUAGAGAAGGAGUAUGGAGAAAUGGCUGUUGGUGCAACAACUUUUAAGCCUCUUGAACAAGUAAUUGAUCUGAUGGUUCGACGAGAAAGGUAUUCCAACAAAGGUGCAAAUAAUACACGCAAUAUGGUGGAAGCAAACCUAGAAAAAGUGAAUGAAAUCAAUGCCAAUGACGCCAGUGGUGAUUUCAAGCAGAUUCUGGAACUGGUGAAUCGCGCGGAGCAAGAUCACUCGAAAAUGCACACAAUUGGUUUCUCACGUGGAAUUCUGGACUUGAAACAUGUUGCCGGAGAUGCUCGAGACCAGUGGCUCUCCAAUGUUCUGAAUAUCAGUGAUGAACAUUUUGCAAGAAUCACUUCUGGAUUGCAACCUCUGUUGAAAGCUUCUGAUAAUCUGGAAACGUUGAACGAUAAGUUGAUGACAGUACGCUCUGUUGCACUGUCUCAAUCGCUCGUUGCCUUGGAAUCACUUGUCACAACGAUCACAUCAUAUUCCUCGUUAUCGAAGGGCUUCAAGAUAUUACUUAACGAUUACGAUGAAUGUGAAAGAAUACAAUCAGUGACAACAGAUUAUAUUCGUUCGCCAGGAAUUACCCUGAUUCGUUUUGUUAAAGAUGUGCAAAAACCCAUCAAUGAAAUGCUUGAGAUUGCGAUGAAGUUGGAUGUGGAAGGGCUGAAUGCGGAAUAUGCAAAAUUUAACGAGUUGAACAAGUAUGGCGACGGUGGACCUCAUUCGGACCAGCAGCUUGAAACCAUACAUGAGAAUCUUAAACAACAGGGAUCGUUGACAAAUCUCCAGAACCGUGUUGCUGGAAUUCAAACGUUGAUCAGUGGAUUUGAUGUCAAUAAUUUUAACAGCACAGUUCUGUCAAAAGCUGAUUCUGUACAAGCUGGCAUGGAUGACACAAGAGGCAUCAUGAAAGCAGUGGCUGACGAGAUGAACUUUCUUCAAUGUUUACAGAAAUCAUCAAGCGACAGUGUGAUGCUUUCCAAAGGAGUUCGUGCCAUUCAAAGACUCCGAAAUGUCACUGCAGAUGAGAUCGAGCCCUUGGAAACAUCAACGUUCUAUUUUUCGGAGCUAUUCAAGGAACUGGCGGCUAUCAAAUCGAUUCCUGAGAAAAUGAAGAACGGAGCAUCAAAGGAAACAUUGGAGUUGAACAGGAUGGCCCAAUCUUUGAGUGCGAUUGAAUAUUCUGCAAGUGCUUUAAAAAGUGCAUAUGGUCUUUUGGAACUGGAAUCUUCAAUUGGUCAGCUCAAAAACGUCGAUGCAGCUGUGAGCGGUGAGAUUCGCAAAAUUAAGAAUCCUGCUGAUAUAAAGAAGCUUCAAAAUCAAUGGGGAGACCACAAGAAGGACAUGGGCUCACUGGAAAAUGCAGUUGCAAAGGCCAAAUAUUUUGUCGCCAUGAUCAAUGUUUCAAAGCUGAAGACACUCGACGACUACAGUGCUCCUCUUAAGGAAUUGGGUGCUAUUCCUGAUGUGAUUAUGAAUGUGUUGGGAAAGGUAGCAGUACUGAAGACAUUGAUAAGAUCAAUUCCACGGACUGAGAGGAGGAAACGAUCUGGAGAGAACAGCGAGUUUAAGCUUAUUGCAGCUAAAGCUGUGCUCGACAAGAUUGCCAAGUUGGAUCUUCGAUUCGCUAGCCUUAAUUCACAAUUCAAAGCGGCUCCACUUGCCUUUCAAUCAUUCCACACUUCCUUGGUGAAAUUAUUUUCAACUCAACAGAAGAUCAGAGCUUCUCAGAAGAUCGGCGGAGGUGGUGGCAAUGCUGGAAGCAGUUCCAAAGAAUGCAAAUUUCCUUUUAUACACGUCAUCGUUUCAAUGGUGAUAACGCUCAUUUUGGCUGCCCUUGUGUUCCUGGCAUAUCUUUGCUACCGAAAGAAGAAACAAGAUGACAAAACAAAAGAAAAGACUCGAUACGAAGAUCUACUGGCACUAAAAGUAUAUGAUGAGGCCAGGCAGAAAUUGGAGGAAAAGGAGAAACUGGAGAGAUUGAAGAGCAAAAGCAAGGUAAACGAGGACGGAAAAGCCAAAUUGGUUGAUAAGAAUAGGAUGACCCCAAUUGCGACCCCAAUGAAAGACUCCAACACUCUUCCCGGAACUCCAAACAACCUUGGAAUCACCCCGAAGCAGGGAAGUCUUAUGAGAACUGGAAUGACUCCAGCUGCUACAUCGUUGAAAGUAAUUGGAAAUAAAAAUGCAUUGGAUGGUCAGGAACAAGAAAUUCACAGUCAGUGUGCCUAUGGAACAAAUGGUUUCUAA
rnacentral:misc_RNA from 1 species